rnacentral:rRNA from 1 species
GACGAACGCUGGCGGCGUGCUUAACACAUGCAAGUCACGGGGGCUCGCAAGAGCAACCGGCGAACGGGUGCGUAACACGUGAGCAACCUGCCGAUCUGAGGGGGAUAGCCGGCCCAACGGCCGGGUAAUACCGCAUACGUUCUCGAGAGGGAGUCCUCUUGGGAAGAAACCUCCGGGGCAGAUCGAGGGGCUCGCGGCCUAUCAGCUAGUUGGUGAGGUAACGGCUCACCAAGGCAUCGACGGGUAGCUGGUCUGAGAGGAUGGCCAGCCACAUUGGGACUGAGAGACGGCCCAGACUCCUACGGGAGGCAGCAGUGGGGAAUCUUGCGCAAUGGCCGAAAGGCUGACGCAGCGACGCCGCGUGUGGGAUGAAGCUAUUUCGGUGUAGUAAACCACUGUU